rnacentral:rRNA from 1 species
UACUCUUAGCGGUGGAUCACUCGGCUCGUGCGUCGAUGAAGAACGCAGCUAGUUGCGAGAACUAAUGUGAUUAGCAGGACAAAUCAGUGAGCAGUGGACAAGAUGAUCCAAGUAGUUAUAAAAAUUUAAUGUUC